rnacentral:lncRNA from 1 species
GGGAAGGCUUCUGCGUGAAAGAAAAUUCAUGAGAACUUGUUUCUCGUGAAUUCAAAUAGGCGCAGGUGAGGUGAGGUGGCACAGGGAGAUAAGUCAAGGUGGUUUCAAAUCUAAUUGAACCAACCUUAUUAAAAUAGGUUAGGCACAAUUAGACUAAAUUAAAUCUAACAUAAUUAGACUUAAUUAGGCUCAAUAAAAUCCUAAUCAAAUUAGAAAUUGACUAAGCCCAACCCCUGAUCAAAUAAGGGACCAAACCACCUCGACGAUUAGGUUAACUCUUAACCUAAUCGGGUCAAACCCAACUGAAUCCAAUUCAAUUUGACUUGAUCCAAAAAUAAUUACUCAAUCAAAUUGAGUUAAUUAAUAACUAAAUCACUAAAUAAAUCUCUCAUAAAUAUUGAGUCCAAAUCCAAUGGGCAAUCGGGCAUCAGAGUCCAUCGAUAUAAA